rnacentral:tRNA from 3 species
GGAGAGGUGUCCGAGUACGGUUUAAGGAGCACGCCUGGAAAGCGUGUUUGGGGGGAACUCCAACGGAGGUUCAAAUCCUCUCCUCUCCGCCA